UGCGGGGUCGUCUAACGGUAGGACAGCGGCCUUUGGAGCCGUUGAUGUUGGUUCGAAUCCAGCCCCCGCAGCCA
rnacentral:tRNA from 1 species